GCCUUCGUGGUGUAGUGGUCAGCAUGCUCGACGCGUAACCGAGAGGUCCGUGGUUCGAUUCCCGGCAAAGGCG
rfam:Stegodyphus mimosarum contig68633, whole genome shotgun sequence.